AUGAGAGCCUGCUUAUUCCUCUGGAUUUUAUGGGAGCUGGCUUUAGGUUCGUGCUCCUGUAGGAGGUAUUCUCUGCUCAUCUAUACCAUCACAGUAGGAAUGAGUCUGCUCCUACUCUCGGCCAUCGCUCUCUUUGUGACACAUUAUAAAAAGUCAUAUGCUGAGCCAGAGCGUCAAACCACAGCUCCAAUUUAUGAAGACAUGUCAAGUGUGAAAGGAAACGGAAGCAGUGUAAACGGUCAUUGGAUCCAUCCAUCAGCCCCAGAAACAUCUGCGAUGCUGGAGAACCUCUACAGAUCCCCCAAACAGACAAAUGUGGAACAGCAUCAGGAAAAAGAAUCAUAA
rnacentral:lncRNA from 1 species